rnacentral:rRNA from 1 species
UCCGUUGGUGAACCAGCGGAGGGAUCAUUACCGAGUUUACAACUCCCAAACCCAAUGUGAACGUUACCAAACUGUUGCCUCGGCGGGAUCUCUGCCCCGGGUGCGUCGCAGCCCCGGACCAAGGCGCCCGCCGGAGGACCAACCAAAACUCUUUUUGUAUACCCCCUCGCGGGUUUUUUAUAAUCUGAGCCUUCUCGGCGCCUCUCGUAGGCGUUUCGAAAAUGAAUCAAAACUUUCAACAACGGAUCUCUUGGUUCUGGCAUCGAUGAAGAACGCAGCGAAAUGCGAUAAGUAAUGUGAAUUGCAGAAUUCAGUGAAUCAUCGAAUCUUUGAACGCACAUUGCGCCCGCCAGUAUUCUGGCGGGCAUGCCUGUCCGAGCGUCAUUUCAACCCUCGAACCCCUCCGGGGGGUCGGCGUUGGGGAUCGGCCCUCCCUUAGCGGGUGGCCGUCUCCGAAAUACAGUGGCGGUCUCGCCGCAGCCUCUCCUGCGCAGUAGUUUGCACACUCGCAUCGGGAGCGCGGCGCGUCCACAGCCGUUAAACACCCAACUUCUGAAAUGUUGACCUCGGAUCAGGUAGGAAUACCCGCUGAACUUAAGCAUAUCAAUAAGCGGAGGAA